rnacentral:rRNA from 1 species
CCUACGGGAGGCAGCAGUGGGGAAUAUUGCACAAUGGGCGCAAGCCUGAUGCAGCGACGCCGCGUGAGGGAUGACGGCCUUCGGGUUGUAAACCUCUUUCAGUAGGGAAGAAGCCUUUCGGGGUGACGGUACUUGCAGAAGAAGCGCCGGCUAACUACGUGCCAGCAGCCGCGGUAAUACGUAGGGCGCAAGCGUUAUCCGGAAUUAUUGGGCGUAAAGAGCUCGUAGGCGGUUUGUCGCGUCUGCUGUGAAAGACCGGGGCUCAACUCCGGUUCUGCAGUGGGUACGGGCAGACUAGAGUGCAGUAGGGGAGACUGGAAUUCCUGGUGUAGCGGUGAAAUGCGCAGAUAUCAGGAGGAACACCGAUGGCGAAGGCAGGUCUCUGGGCUGUAACUGACGCUGAGGAGCGAAAGCAUGGGGAGCGAACAGGAUUAGAUACC